UGGGGAAUAUUGCACAAUGGGGGAAACCCUGAUGCAGCAACGCCGCGUGCGGGAUGACGGCCUUCGGGUUGUAAACCGCUUUCAGCCAUGACGAAGCUUUUGUGACGGUAGUGGCAGAAGAAGCACCGGCUAACUACGUGCCAGCAGCCGCGGUGAUACGUAGGGUGCGAGCGUUGUCCGGAAUUAUUGGGCGUAAAGAGCUUGUAGGCGGUUUGUCGCGUCGAAAGUGUAAACUCAGUGCUUAACGCUGAGCCUGCUUUCGAUACGGGCUGACUGGAGGAAGGUAGGGGAGAAUGGAAUUCCCGGUGGAGCGGUGGAAUGCGCAGAUAUCGGGAGGAACACCAGUGGCGAAGGCGGUUCUCUGGACCUUUCCUGACGCUGAGAAGCGAAAGCGUGGGUAGCAAACAGG
rnacentral:rRNA from 1 species